CAAACGGUCUUUUUCAAGGCCACCAAACCUUCGAGAAAGAAUAAG
rfam:Strongylocentrotus purpuratus Contig53106_fixed, whole genome shotgun sequence.